UUGAAAGGGAAACGAUUGAAGUCAGUCAUGCCAGUGGGAAUCAACUUAGGGGAAACUCUGGGUGCACUUCUUCGCUUGGCAGGUCAACGUCGAUUUUGAAUGUCAUAAAAUAAUUGGGGGAAGGUAGCUCCUUCGGGAGUGUUAUAGCCCUUGAUAGAUGUGAUGUUUGGGGUCGAGGAUUGCAACGGAUACCCUUCGGGGCUAGCCGCCUGAUCUCUAAUUGGUGUUGGGUUACGGAUAGCAUGCUGACCGUGAUCUAAUUACUGGUUAAAAGGUUAGAGUGUGCAUAAAUUCGUUAAGGAUGUUGACGUA
rnacentral:rRNA from 1 species